GGGGUUAUGGCUCAGUGGUAGAGUGCUCACCUAGCAUGUGUGAGGCCCUGGGUUCGAUUCUCAGCACCA
rnacentral:tRNA from 1 species